rnacentral:rRNA from 1 species
UUUAUUCGAGAGUUUGAUCCUGGCUCAGGAUGAACGCUGGCGGCGUGCUUAACACAUGCAAGUCGAACGGGGUUAUGAUGUGAGCGGAGUUAGCUUGCUAAUGACAAUCUUUUCAUAACCUAGUGGCGGACGGGUGAGUAACGCGUGGGUAACCUGCCAUAUACAGGGGGAUAACACUUAGAAAUAGGUGCUAAUACCGCAUAAGCGCACAGUACCGCAUGGUGCAGUGUGAAAAACUCCGGUGGUACAGGAUGGACCCGCGUCUGAUUAGCUUGUUGGCGGGGUAACGGCCCACCAAGGCGACGAUCAGUAGCCGGCCUGAGAGGGUGAACGGCCACAUUGGGACUGAGUCACGGCCCAAACUCCUACGGGAGGCAGCAGUG